CUUGCAGCAGUCUCUAAUUCGGUUGGUGCAGUUCGGGAGUUCCUUUGCCUGUGAUAUUGAUGUCUGGCAAAAGUCAUGCUCCUGAGUUGUGCCAAUUGAAUCAGAGCCUGCAGCAAAU
rnacentral:pre_miRNA from 1 species